CUUACGACAAAGCCGUCCUUAAUGUUUGCAUGGUAUGUGGCCGGUUGCUGUUAUACUUGCAGCCAGGAGUCGGCCACAAUGGCCCCGAGGAUGGGCGUCAGGUAGCAGAGAGCCACGAAGACGUGGUAGAUGGACGUAGCCAAGUCAUCGUCCCAGCGCAAGAAGUACUUGAAGUACAGCACCAGGACAGCUGAGAACAGGGGAGCAAAAUAUCACUUCACUUCUUGCCCGUGUGUUUUCCCUCCCUUCUGAUGACUUCACCUGUGUCUGACUGUCCGUCCUGCCCUGAUUAGCCUCACCUGUGUCUCGUUAUCCUUCCCCUCAGCAGAGUAUUUAGUGUGUGUCUUGUUUUCUUUCAGUGUCAGUUCGUCUUAGCUCCUUGUUUAUCUAGUGUUCAGCCUUUUGUUUUCCUGUGUCCUGGAUUUAGCGUGUUGAUUGACUCUGCCUGAUCCCUAUUGGAUUUGUUUGCCUCCACUGAUUGUCCUUCUGUGUACCAAACCUAUCGUUUAUUAUUACAAUAAAUAUACAGUAAUUAUAUCAUAUUUGAAAAUUACAAAAUGUAUUUAAUGCUAAUGUGAUGUGUCUAUUGUUUGACAUCUUGGGAGUCAGCUGUUAAAUCUGUGAUGAAAUACUGAAAGAGACAGUUACUACUGAAAUUAUUAGUCACUAUUGGAAAGCUUAAGAUAAGAUGUUAAAUGUUUUUGU